GCCCGGGUGGUGAAAUAGGUAGACACAGCGGACUUAAAAUCCGCCGCGCGUAAAUCCGCGCAUACCGGUUCAAAUCCGGUUCCGGGCA
rnacentral:tRNA from 1 species